rnacentral:rRNA from 1 species
UAGGGAAUCUUCGGCAAUGGACGAAAGUCUGACCGAGCAACGCCGCGUGAGUGAAGAAGGUUUUCGGAUCGUAAAACUCUGUUGUUAGAGAAGAACAAGGACGUUAGUAACUGAACGUCCCCUGACGGUAUCUAACCAGAAAGCCACGGCUAACUACGUGCCAGCAGCCGCGGUAAUACGUAGGUGGCAAGCGUUGUCCGGAUUUAUUGGGCGUAAAGCGAGCGCAGGCGGUUUCUUAAGUCUGAUGUGAAAGCCCCCGGCUCAACCGGGGAGGGUCAUUGGAAACUGGGAGACUUGAGUGCAGAAGAGGAGAGUGGAAUUCCAUGUGUAGCGGUGAAAUGCGUAGAUAUAUGGGGGAACACCAGUGGCGAAGGCGGCUCUCUGGUCUGUAACUGACGCUGAGGCUCGAAAGCGUGGGGAGCAAACAGU